rnacentral:rRNA from 1 species
UACGUAGGGUGCAAGCGUUAAUCGGAAUUACUGGGCGUAAAGGGCGCGUAGGCGGUACUUCAAGUCAGGCGUGAAAGCCCCGGGCUCAACCUGGGAACCGCGCUUGAGACUGGAGAACUAGAGUUCGGGAGAGGAUGGUGGAAUUCCCAGUGUAGAGGUGAAAUUCGUAGAUAUUGGGAAGAACACCGAUGGCGAAGGCAGCCAUCUGGACCGACACUGACGCUGAGGCGCGAAAGCGUGGGGAGCAAACAGG